GUGGGGAAUAUUGGACAAUGGGCGAAAGCCUGAUCCAGCCAUGCCGCGUGAGUGAUGAAGGCCUUAGGGUUGUAAAGCUCUUUCAGUAGGGAAGAUAAUGACGGUACCUACAGAAGAAGCCCCGGCUAACUUCGUGCCAGCAGCCGCGGUGAUACGAAGGGGGCUAGCGUUGUUCGGAUUUACUGGGCGUAAAGCGCACGUAGGCGGAUUGGUCAGUUAGAGGUGAAAUCCUGGAGCUCAACUCCAGAACUGCCUUUAAUACUGCCAGUCUAGAGUCCAGAAGAGGUGAGUGGAACUCCUAGUGUAGAGGUGGAAUUCGUAGAUAUUAGGAAGAACACCAGUGGCGAAGGCGGCUCACUGGUCUGGUACUGACGCUGAGGUGCGAAAGCGUGGGGAGCAAACAGGAUUAGAUACCCUAGUAGUCC
rnacentral:rRNA from 1 species